UACGAAGGGGGCUAGCGUUGUUCGGAAUUACUGGGCGUAAAGCGCGCGCAGGCGGUCUUCCAAGUCAGUGGUGAAAGCCCGGAGCUCAACUUCGGAACUGCCCUUGAUACAGCACGUCUUGAGUCCGGAAGAGGUGGGUGGAACUGCGAGUGUAGAGGUGAAAUUCGUAGAUAUUCGCAAGAACACCAGUGGCGAAGGCGGCUCACUGGCCCGGUACUGACGCUGAGGUGCGAAAGCGUGGGGAGCAAACAGGG
rnacentral:rRNA from 1 species